UACAGAGGGGGCAAGCGUUGUUCGGAAUUACUGGGCGUAAAGGGCGCGUAGGCGGCCUGUUAAGUCGAACGUGAAAUCCCCGGGCUCAACCCGGGAACUGCGUCCGAUACUGGCAGGCUUGAAUUCGGGAGAGGGAUGUGGAAUUCCAGGUGUAGCGGUGAAAUGCGUAGAUAUCUGGAGGAACACCGGUGGCGAAGGCGGCAUCCUGGACCGAUAUUGGCGCUGAUGCGCGAAAGCCAGGGGAGCAAACGGG
rnacentral:rRNA from 1 species